GCCGCGGUGGCGAAACUGGCAGACGCGUACGGCUUAGGACCGUAUGCCGAAAGGCUUGAGGGUUCAAGUCCCUCCCGCGGCA
rnacentral:tRNA from 1 species